GAGUAACGCGUAUCCAACCUGCCCACCACUUGGGGAUAACCUUGCGAAAGUAAGACUAAUACCCAAUGACGUCUCUAGAAGGCAUCUGAAAGAGAUUAAAGAUUUAUCGGUGAUGGAUGGGGAUGCGUCUGAUUAGCUUGUUGGCGGGGUAACGGCCCACCAAGGCAACGAUCAGUAGGGGUUCUGAGAGGAGGGUCCCCCACAUUGGAACUGAGACACGGUCCAAACUCCUACGGGAGGCAGCAGUGAGGAAUAUUGGUCAAUGGACGAGAGUCUGAACCAGCCAAGUAGCGUGCAGGAAGACGGCCCUAUGGGUUGUAAACUGCUUUUAUAAGGGAAUAAAGUGAGUCUCGUGAGACUUUUUGCAUGUACCUUAUGAAUAAGGACCGGCUAAUUCCGUGCCAGCAGCCGCGGUAAUACGGAAGGUCCGGGCGUUAUCCGGAUUUAUUGGGUUUAAAGGGAGCGUAGGCCGGAGAUUAAGCGUGUUGUGAAAUGUAGACGCUCAACGUCUGCACUGCAGCGCGAACUGGUUUCCUUGAGUACGCACAAAGUGGGCGGAAUUCGUGGUGUAGCGGUGAAAUGCUUAGAUAUCACGAAGAACUCCGAUUGCGAAGGCAGCUCACUGGAGCGCAACUGACGCUGAAGCUCGAAAGUGCGGGUAUCGAACAGGAUUAGACACCCUGGUGGUCCGCACGGUAAACGAUGGAUGCCCGCUGUUGGUCUGAAUAGGUCAGCGGCCAAG
rnacentral:rRNA from 1 species